GGGGAUGCAAAUGGAUUUUGCUGUAGGUCCCUGCAUACUUGAGGCCUUCUGGAGGUGGGGAAUGAAAAUGGCAUCUCUAAGCCUUGAAGCAGAGAUCUCUAUCAUGUCAAGAUCCUUCCCUAUGAAGUUCAGAGCCAAGCCUUGUCUUCAGGGGACACAGAGACUCCUGCUACACCACAGUCACAGCCCAGAGAAAAGUGACAGCAAACUCAAUGCUGUUCUCAGCUUAUCUGCCAAGACUGAUGUAAUGCUGAAGAAGCUGAAGUUCAAUGACAGAAGCAGAAAGGAAAAAUUGUUUCCUAUCUAAAAUCAAAUAAAUGAAGUAUGAAACUACCCACUCAUCUUGACUUUCAUGAAGAAGAUCAGCACACACAAAAAAAGCUGUAAUUCUUAUGUUCGCACAAAAAAUUACAGAGACCAUGACCUUACAGCACUUGCCUUUGCUCAUUGCUUGCCCUGUGCUCAACACAUUGCUGAGGGCCCUUCUUGCAGUUUGUGCAGCAUGGCAGGGAAGGUACAGCAGCUCCCAUGUCAACUGGGGAGAAGUAAAAUGUAAUGACAGCUCUGAUGAAACUGCAGUAGCAAAUGGCCGCUUGAACUGCCUCAAAGCUUGCGUGAAGAGAACAGCUCUGAAGAUCCACAGCUUCACGUGCAACUUCUUUGUUGUCAGACCAACAUGAUGUGACAUUUAUAAGGAAUCUUCUGGGAACUGGGGGGGAUAUGCUGGAGCUUUUCCAUGUCCAGUAAACAGACUGCUUCCAGGGUGGAGCAUGAAUUUCUGCUUCAUGUGCUGAGUGAAGAUUGAUGAUUUGGAAGCCACUUUGCUUGAGCUUCCUGAACCUUUUAAGAAUCUCACAGAGUAAGAAGACAGAGUAUCAUUCUUCCAAGCUAAAAGCUCCUUUCAGGACUGGAGUGUGGAGGAAUCUUUGACUCCUUACCACCAAGACUCUGUGGAGGGUCGACUCAGAUCCUUACAGGACAUCUAGUCAUCUGCAGCUGCAUCCCUCUCCUCAGAAACUCCUAAGCAUUCCCAAACUAUUCUCUUUCCUCCAAGUUCUAGCAUUUCUUUCUACUAUUUCUUUAAUAUCUUCCCUGGCACUGUUAAUGUGUGCUGAGGAAACCUUUGGAAAAUUUAUUCUAGGAAACAGAAACAAUGUUUGGUAAACUACUGCGUUUUCUCACUUUGUUCACUUUUGACAUAGAUUUAAGCAUCUGAGUUAAAAGUUUAUUAUUUAUGUUUUCUUUGAAGAGAGGCAGGUCUCAGAACAACAACCUAACUAAGAUGUUUAAGAAACAUGUUAUUAAAUUACCU
rnacentral:lncRNA from 1 species